CUGAGCCAGCUCUGGGGUGGGAGUCAAUGCUGUCUCUGAAGAGUGGCUACAACAUCUGACUUAUUUAAUUGUUCAUUCUCUUAGUAUCGUCCUCCCCCACUAAAAUAAGAGGAAGCUGAGGCACAGGGAAGUAACCUGUCCAAAGUCACAUGACAGGUGGGCAAGUUGAGAUAAGCCUGCCGGUGCCCUGACCCAGACACCAGCUCCCAAGUUCUUUGCUGGACCACCUCUCGCCACUGCCACCACUGUGCUGCUGCUGCUAUGUGGAGUCACCACCAUGUGCCAGGGCCUAUAAUUCCCUCAUCCGAUUCUCUCAAAUCCUUCCAGGUUUUUUGCACGUCUGAUGACCUAUGGCUCCACCUGGACCCAACAACCAUGCCUGUGACCUCACCUGUGACCAGCACUACAGAAGGACCAUUUCUCACACCCAUAUGAUUGCACCCCCAAUCAAUCAGCAGCAAACACCCAUUGCUCUAUCCACUCCCACCCCUUCCCCCAAACUACCUUUGAAAAAUCCUGCCCCAAAAUGCUCUAGCAGGCUGAUUUGAGUCAGAAUAAAAUACCAGUCUUCCGUUAGCUGGCUCUACGUGUAAAAAUCUCUCUAUUGCAAUUCCCCUGCCUUGAUAAAUUGGCUUCAUCUGGGCAGCAUGCAAGAAUGUAAUCAUUGGGUGGUUACAUUAGGAGGUCCUGUUUUCUACUUUAUAAUCCUUCUGAUUUCUGUAAAAUUGGAAGAAACGUCCCCUCUUUCAUUUCUUAUUUUAGUUAUUUAAUUCUUCUCUCAUUUUUUCUUAAUGUAGCUAAAGAUUUGUAAAUUUUGAUCUUUUUAAA
rnacentral:lncRNA from 10 species